rnacentral:rRNA from 2 species
AAAAAAGGUAAGCUACUAAGAGCAAAUGGUGGAUGCCUUGGCUAGUAGAGGCGAUGAAAGACGUGCCAGGCUGCGAUAAGUCUCGGGGAGCCGUCAAGGGGCUUUGAUCCGGGAAUUUCUGAAUGGGGCAACCCAGUAUAUAGUGAUAUAUACUACCGCAAUGCGGAGCUAACGUUGGGAAUUGAAACAUCUUAGUACCAACAGGAAAAGAAAUCAAAAGAGAUUACGCUAGUAGCGGCGAGCGAACGCGUAAGAGGGCAAACCGUUAGUUUACUAACGGGGUUGUAGGACUGCAACAUAGACUUAAACAAACUAAUAGAAUAACCUGGAAAGGUUGGCCAUAGAGGGUGAUAGCCCCGUAUAUGAAAGUGCGUUUAUACUUAGCAGUAUCCUGAGUAGGGCGGGACACGUGAAAUCCUGUCUGAAGCUGGGGAGACCACUCUCCAACCCUAAAUACUACUACUAGACCGAUAGUGCACAAGUACCGUGAGGGAAAGGUGAAAAGAACUGAGGUGAUCAGAGUGAAAUAGAACCUGAAACCAUUUGCUUACAAUCAUUCAGAGCACGAUUCUUUAUGACGUGUGAUGGACUGCCUUUUGCAUAAUGAGCCUGCGAGUUGUGGUGUCUGGCGAGGUUAAGGAAACCCGGAGCCGUAGCGAAAGCGAGUCUUAAUAGGGCGUAUAGUCAGAUGCUGCAGACCCGAAACGAUGUGAUCUAUCCAUGAGCAGGUUGAAACUGGUGUAAGAGCCAGCGGAGGACCGAACAGACGGCCGUUGAAAAGGCUCCUGAUGACUUGUGGAUAGGGGUGAAAGGCCAAUCAAACAUCGUGAUAGCUGGUUCUCUCCGAAAUAUAUUUAGGUAUAGCGUUGUGUCGUAAUUAUAAGGGGUAGAGCACUGAAUGGGCUAGGGCAUAUACCAAUGUACCAAACCCUAUCAAACUCCGAAUACUUAUAAUGUAAUCACAGCAGUCAGGCGGCGAGUGAUAAAAUCCGUCGUCAAGAGGGGAACAACCCAGACUAACAGCUAAGGUCCCUAAAUCUCAUUUAAGUGGAAAACGAUGUGGAGUUACUGAAACAACCAGGAGGUUGGCUUAGAAGCAGCCAUCCUUUAAAGAAAGCGUAAUAGCUCACUGGUCUAGUGAUUCUGCGCGGAAAAUAUAACGGGGCUAAAAUGAGUACCGAAGCUUUAGACUUAGUUUUUAACUAAGUGGUAGGAGAGCGUUCUAUUCAGCGUUGAAGGUAUACCGGUAAGGAGUGCUGGAGCGGAUAGAAGUGAGCAUGCAGGCAUGAGUAGCGAUAAUUGAUGUGAGAAUCAUCAACGCCGAAAACCCAAGGUUUCCUACGCGAUGCUCGUCAUCGUAGGGUUAGUCGGGUCCUAAGCAAAGUCCGAAAGGGGUAUGCGAUGGAAAAUUGGUUAAUAUUCCAAUACCAAUUAUUAUGUGCGAUGGAAGGACGCUUAAAGUUAGUGGAGCUAGCGGAUGGAAGUGCUAGUCUAAGGGUGUAGGUUGAGUUAUAGGCAAAUCCGUAACUCUUUAUCCGAGACCUAAAAGGCUCAUGACGCUCUUCGGAGUAGAUUGAGAAUCCAUGAUACUAUCGAGCCAAGAAAAGUUUCUAAGUUUAGUAAUAAUUGCCCGUACCGUAAACCGACACAGGUGGGUGGGAUGAGUAUUCUAAGGCGCGUGGAAGAACUCUCUUUAAGGAACUCUGCAAAAUAGCACCGUAUCUUCGGUAUAAGGUGUGCCUAACUUUGUAUUAAGAUUCACUCCCAAAGCAAAGAAGGUUACAACAAAGAGUCCCUCCCGACUGUUUACCAUAAACACAGCACUCUGCUAACACGUAAGUGGAUGUAUAGGGUGUGACGCCUGCCCGGUGCUCGAAGGUUAAUUGAUGAUGUUAGCUAUGCGAAGCAUUUGAUCGAAGCCCGAGUAAACGGCGGCCGUAACUAUAACGGUCCUAAGGUAGCGAAAUUCCUUGUCGGUUAAAUACCGACCUGCAUGAAUGGCGUAACGAGAUGGGAGCUGUCUCAAAGAGGGAUCCAGUGAAAUUGUAGUGGAGGUGAAAAUUCCUCCUACCCGCGGCAAGACGGAAAGACCCCGUGGACCUUUACUACAGCUUGACACUGCUACUUGGAUAAAGAUGCGCAGGAUAGGUGGGAGGCUUUGAUCCAUAGACCCUGGUUUAUGGUGAGCCAUUGUUGAGAUACCACUCUUCUUUAUUCGGGUAGCUAACUAGCCUAAGUUAUCCUUAGGUAGGACAAUGUCUGGUGGGUAGUUUGACUGGGGCGGUCGCCUCCCAAAAUGUAACGGAGGCUUACAAAGGUUGGCUCAGAACGGUUGGAAAUCGUUCGUAGAGUAUAAAGGCAUAAGCCAGCUUAACUGCGAGACAUACACGUCAAGCAGAGACGAAAGUCGGUCUUAGUGAUCCGGUGGUUCUGUGUGGAAGGGCCAUCGCUCAAAGGAUAAAAGGUACCCCGGGGAUAACAGGCUGAUCUCCCCCAAGAGCUCACAUCGACGGGGAGGUUUGGCACCUCGAUGUCGGCUCAUCGCAUCCUGGGGCUGGAGCAGGUCCCAAGGGUAUGGCUGUUCGCCAUUUAAAGCGGUACGCGAGCUGGGUUCAGAACGUCGUGAGACAGUUCGGUCCCUAUCUGCCGUGGGCGUAAGAAGAUUGAGGAGAGUUGACCCUAGUACGAGAGGACCGGGUCGAACUAGCCACUGGUGUACCAGUUGUUCUGCCAAGAGCAUCGCUGGGUAGCUAAGCUAGGAUGAGAUAAGAGCUGAAAGCAUCUAAGCUCGAAGCCAACUCCAAGAUGAAUCUUCUUUUAAGAGCUCUAGUAGACUACUAGUUUGAUAGGCUGGGUGUGUAAUGGAUGAAAGUCCUUUAGCUGACCAGUACUAAUAGCUCGUUUGCUUAUCUUUAUAUAAGCAUCACUUC